UGCAGGGGAUGCCCAUCAUUUACUGUGAAAAAAUUAGAGUGUUCAAAGCAGGCUUAUGCCGUUGAAUAUAUUAGCAUGGAAUAAUAAGAUAGGACUUGUUUGCUAUUUUGUUGGUUUGCGCAAAUAGGUAAUGAUUAAUAGGGACAGUUGGGGGUAUUCGUAUUCCAUUGUCAGAGGUGAAAUUCUUGGAUUUUUGGAAGACGAACUACUGCGAAAGCAUUUACCAAGGAUGUUUUCAUUAAUCAAGAACGAAAGUUAGGGGAUCGAAGAUGAUUAGAUACCAUCGUAGUCUUAACCAUAAACUAUGCCGACAAGGGAUUGGUGGAGUCUCGUUAUGUCUCCAUCAGCACCUUAUGAGAAAUCACAAGUCUUUGGGUUCCGGGGGG
rnacentral:rRNA from 1 species